rnacentral:rRNA from 1 species
GAGUUAGGGAGGAGACGGGCGAUCUAGAGGGUGCGCGGGCCCGCGGGGACGAGGAGUAGGUCGCGCCGCGGGCAGGCGUGGGAGAGGAGUCGUCACGCGGAGGCGUGGGUUGUCGGGAACGAGGAAGCGGUCGCGUGGAGGUGCGACCCGGCGGCGACGAGGAGACGGUCUCGGUACGGCGCGAGCCGGCGGCGGAGCACGCGGAGGUGCGGGCCGGCGGCGUUCACGUGCAGGCGAGGUGUGGAUGGGUGAGUGCGGCGGCUGCCGGGAGUGGAGGGUGCUCUGCGGGCCCCUCGAGAAAGAUGCUAUUUAGGGAGUGGUUGACCACGCGGCUGUUGUGCGUAUAGGAAAGGUCAUUUAGUACAAGGCCAUAAAUAGUGUUUACCCUUUUCCAGAGGAGGGAAGGCAGCAGCCGGAGUAGACUUCCAAGUUCUAGGCGUGUUCAGUAGACUUCCAGGAAACUAGCUAGAUAAGACGCAGUUUCCAGGGCAAGUAGACACCGUUUAAGGCGACGUCGGAGUUAACAUGCACACGAAGUUAGAUAAAAGUACAACAAAAGAACCCGGAACCACAAAACAAAGAACCCACAAACUGCUUGCGACGUGUUUAAUUCGAUGACAAUUGUUAAAGUCUCCACAUCCAACCGGACGUGGAGCACACCCGCCUCCACUUCGUGCGAAAUCAGACAGGGAGUCUUCAACCCGGGCGGUUACAAAAAUUUCGUCAUUUCGCUUCGCUCCGCGACCAACCCCCGCCCCGAGUGGCGAAUUCGCAUUUCGCUCCGCCGCGAAAUCUGACUAGAUUUGGAUUACCCGCCAUCUAAUCUCUUGGUAAAUCACUCUGUAUAUAUGGUAUACAACGACCAACAUUUCGGGUGUAUUGUAGGUAGGUAAGGUGGGAGAAACGUGAACGAGAAGAGGGGUUUCUCUUACGUCUCCCGUCCUCGGUAUGGAAUACGACGACCAGACCACCUUCUCCCAACGUGGUCUCCUCCCCCCUCCUCAACCUCGAUCUCUCCUCCCCCUCCUCGAUAACGGCUUCUCCUCCUUCAACGACGUCUAGACUCCUCCUUCGACGGUGGUCUCCACAAUACAACACUAGGUUUAAGUUCAUAUUUCUCUUUCCGAUUGAAUAUUGCUCGCUCGCCUCGCUCCGGGCAGCGAUCAUCCGAACUCGGCUUCGCCGGAUCCAGUGGACACACUAUAUAUACAUAGGAAACAUUCGGCGGCGUGCCCUAAUCAACAAACAUUUAGGGACCGCAAACAUUGGAGGGGACUAUAUCACUUCUAAACAACCGACCGCGGGUACCACAAAAGAGGAAGUACAACCUCCCCAAAAGGUGUAAUUUAGAACACAGAGGACGAACAAAAAGCAAGAAGCAGCACAACGGACAGCAUAGAGAUUGUUCACCAUAGUCUCGGAACAAAGACAGAUCCCAAAGCUGCUGUACCGUAGCUUCUUCAGGCUAGAAGACGACGACCUGAUGCUGUGCUCCAAAAGGAACACCGUUCACUUCUACGCCCAACACGAUCGCGUAGGGCUAGACCUACUCCGCGAUCUACCGAAGCCACCUUUUCUUGACUCUUCGUGUCUCUAGCAUUCCGAGAUAGAAACUAAGUAGAAGUAGAUAGAUUGUUAUAAAACGUUCUUCACGACCUCCUCUUUAGACGUCGUCGAGAGACCGACUUUGACCUCAGCCAGACGUACAGGUUCCUAGAUUGGUCAUUCUACGUGUACUUCUAUUCAGCAAGUGUGUGUUCAACGUUCUUCCACCAAGCCACGAUUUGGUGAAUAGCUAGAAGUUCCUCUUCGAAACGUCCAUGCUCCGUCCGGACUCAUCUUUUUUAUGAUGUUGUUGUCUCUAUUUUCGUUCUUGCCGUCUCCAGCGAGCUUCAGGUCUCUUAGACCCUUCCUUUUUAAGACGUCCAUAACGUUCUUUCUCCCGGUGGAGUAACUACUGAUAACCUUCAACCUUUUAUUCCUCUUCACCUUGCCAUGCACCUUUGGAUUUUUGUUUAGGCUACCACUACCAUUCCAGUUACAAUAUAGCCCAUUAUUCAGUACUACGAAAUCAACAAAAACGACCUACAAAAGGUACAGUACUACUUACCUAUGAACUAAGACGG